GAUGAUCUGAUUAACUGAAAAUUUAAAUCUCCUCAUUUGUUUCUGUUCUUAUAGCAACCAUAAACAAACAAAUAAAAAUUUUGGCAACACACAAAUUUUGCUCCUUAAAUUCUUUGUAAACUUCCAACCCAAGAAGAAAUAUGCCUUGCUCACCUUGCUGUGCACCCUGCUACCCAUGUUUCUACCCUGUUUGCGCGCCAUGUUAUCCUGUCUAUUGCGCUCCGGUUGUGUGCGCACCCUGCUGCCCCCCUUGCGGACCCUGCCCUCCUAAGUGCUAGCAAUGUUACGGAGUGGAUUCUUCAGUACAUUUUAGAGACUAAGGCAAUGUAACAACAUAAAUUAAUAAAUAUUUGCAACUAGAAAA